AUGAGACAGAUGCGACCAUUUUCCAGAAUCAUGGUGUUGGCUAUUACGAUUGACUUAGAAGCAAUGUUUGGACAGGUUUACUGUGAAAAGGACAAGGCUCCGAUGAGCUUGGGUUUGUCUCAUAGUCUAUCCAGAUAUAAACUGAAGUUUAGUGCAGACAAGGUGGACACCAUGAUCGUCCAGGCUAUUGAUUUACUGGAUGAACUUGAUAAAUAG